rnacentral:rRNA from 1 species
UUCCGGUUGAUCCUGCCAGAGGCGACCGCUUUUGGAGUUCGAUUAAGCCAUGCGAGUAGAAAGAAAUUAGAUUCUUUGCGAACUGCUCAGUAACACGUGGAUAACCUGCCCUAUGCUCUGGAAUAACCUCGGGAAACUGAGAAUAAUACCGGAUAGAUCACAACGCCUGGAACGGUGUGUGGUUGAAAGAUUACGGCAUAGGAUGGGUCUGCGGCGUAUCAGGUUGUAGGGGGUGUAACGGACCUCCUAGCUAUCGACGCGUACGGGUGUUGGGAGACAUAGCCCGGAGAUGGAUUCUGAGACACGAAUCCAGACCCUACGGGGUGCAGCAGGCGCGAAAACUUCACACUGCAGGAAACUGUGAUGAGGGAACUCCAAGUGCGUGCACUUAGUGUGCGCUUUUGUUGACUAUUAAUCGGUCAAUGAAUAAGGGCUGGGAAAGACCGGUGCCAGCCGCCGCGGUAAUACCGGCAGCUCAAGUGGUCGUCGCUUUUAUUGGGCCUAAAACGUCCGUAGCCUGUUUGGUAAAUCUGUGGGUAAAUCAACCAGCUUAACUGGUUGAAUUCUGCAGAGACUGCCAGACUAGGGACCGGGAGAGGUGUGGGGUACUCUAGGGGUAGGGGUAAAAUCCUGUCAUCCUUAGAGGACCACCAGUUGCGAAGGCGCCACACUGGAACGGAUUCGACGGUCAGGGACGAAGCCUAGGGGCACGAACCGGAUUAGAUACCCGGGUAGUCCUAGGUGUAAACGCUGUGAACUUGGUGUCGGGGAUCCGUCAUGGGUCCCCGGUGCCGGAGUGAAGAUGUUAAGUUCACUGCCUGGGGAGUACGGUCGCAAGGGCUGAAACUUAAAGGAAUUGGCGGGGGAGCAC